UUUUAGAAUUUAAUUUAAAGUCUAACCUGCCCACUGAAAAAUUUUAAAUGGCCGCAGUAUCCUAACUGUGCAAAGGUAGCAUAAUCAUUAGUCUUUUAAUUGAAGGCUGGAAUGAAUGGUUGGAUGAAAUAUUAACUGUUUCAUAAAAAUUAAUAAUAGAAUUUUAUUUUUUAGUCAAAAAGCUAAAAUAAUUUUAAAAGACGAGAAGACCCUAUAAAUCUUUAUAUUUUAAUAAUUAUAAUUAUAUAGAUAAUUUAUAUUUUAAUUUUUAAAAAUAUUUUAUUGGGGUGAUAUUAAAAUUUAAUAAACUUUUAAUUUACAAUUUACAUAAAUUAAUGAAUUGUUGAUCCAUUUAUUAUGAUUAAAAAAUUAAGUUACUUUAGGGAUAACAGCGUAAUUUUUUUAGAGAGUUCAUAUUGAUAAAAA
rnacentral:rRNA from 1 species